UACGUAGGGUGCGAGCGUUAAUCGGAAUUACUGGGCGUAAAGCGUGCGCAGGCGGUGAGCUGUGUCCGAUGUGAAAGCCCCGGGCUUAACCUGGGAAUGGCAUUGGAAACUGGCUCGCUGGAGUGUGGCAGAGGGGGGUGGAAUUCCGCGUGUAGCAGUGAAAUGCGUAGAUAUCGGAAGGAACAUCAGUGGCGAAAGCGACUUCCUGGACCAAUACUGACGCUCAUGUGCGAAAGCGUGGGGAGCAAACAGG
rnacentral:rRNA from 1 species